AUGUACCCACGUACACUCCGGUUCCUCCGCGCCGUCCGCACCCACCUGACGACUGCUCGCUACGUUUGUUAGCC
rnacentral:sRNA from 1 species